UGCCCACAUCAUGUUGAAACACCUGUUCCCGUAUUAUCACGGAAGUUAAGCAACAUUGAACCUGGUCUGUAUCUAGAUGGGUGACCACUAGGGAAUACCAGGUGCUGUGA